rnacentral:lncRNA from 1 species
CUUGAGAAGAGGUUGAUUGUUGAUUGAAGAUCUCUUGAAAGCUUUGAACGAUCUUUAGAUCAAGGUUGAAAACAAUAGGCGUGAAGAAUUCUCUCCUUGAAAGCUCUUGCUUUUCUCUUUCACAAUCUCUCUGGUAUAUUGUGGAUCCUCUCUCUUUUUCUUUUUGGAUAUUUUGUUGAUCUCAGACUUUUUCGUGCAGAUUUCGGAUCCUCUCUUCUGUUCUUUUCAUUUUUGAUUUCACGUUUGAUCCGCUAUUUAAUCUGUAAUUUUUUUCACCAUUUUAAGCAUUUUGUAGCAUUAGAAGCAAGAGAAAACAAUUUAGGUAGAUAAAGAGCCAUUAGAGCAAUUUUAGGAAGCAUAAAUGGUAAUUAAAAUGGGCAAAAAAAUAGCCGUUGCUGACAUUUCCCGUCGCAGGGAUCGACUCAUGAGUCGACUCAUGCUUCAGGGGUCGACUCAUGAGUCGACCUCUGUUGCAAAAACCAGAGAAUGCGUUUCUGGAAAUUUUUGGCUCAAAUUAGCAGGGGUCGACUCAUGAGUCGACUCAUGCCUUGUGGGUCGACUCAUGAGUCGACUCACAGGUCGUGCCAAGUCAAAAAUCUAGCGUGCCAUGGGAAUUUUUUGCGUGCCAAACAGCUCACAGUGCCAUGAGUUGACUCAUGAGUCGACUCAUGCACUUCAAACCUUCAUAACUUCAAAAAUAUAAGUCCAAAUACAAUAAAAUUUUCACCAUUAGUUUACAAAUCAUUUGUUCUAUCAAAUGAUACUAUCAAAUCAGGAUUUAAGUGAAAUUAUGAUUUUGCCCUUGAAG